AAUAAAAGCAUUCCAGAGAAACUAGAAACUAUCUCCACAGUUCUUCACGUUAAAUAAAAAAAGCUUUGCUCCCAAAACUUCUUCGACGAUUCUAAAAAUAUGAUCUUGAAUCUUACAUGGAAGCGCUCGUUUCCACAUGAAACCGUCUUUGAGUGUAUUUGCGUGGAGAAAGCCAUUGUUGUUGACAGAUUCCAUUUCAUUUACAACUCUGAGCAGAGUCGCUGAAAUAUUUGAAGUAAUUUUCAUCUCCCUAGCCCCAAGAUAUCAGGUAGAGACUCUUGUGCUCUACCGAUUCUUACGUUUUGUUUUGAGUUUUAAUCAAAAACUCCUAAAAGAUCGAAGUAGACACUAAUCUAAUAGUGUUCUGCUAGAUUCUUAUUUGGGGGACAUUGUCCCGUCGGUUGGUAGUUGCGUGUCUUUGGGGAUGAUGGAACUUUAGUACCCACGGCUUGGUUUAAUAUCUUGACAAGAAAAAAAGACUAACGGCUUAAUAAUAGUCUUUAAGGCAAAGACUGUAAACUUGUUGGAUGGAUUAAACGACCAACGGUUUACAAUAAAGUCUUUAAGGGGGAAUGAUGGAACUUUAGUACCCACGGCUUUACAAAAAUGACCAACGGCUUAAUAUCUUGACACAAAAAGACCAAACGGCUUGACAAUAGUCUUAAGGCAAAGACUGUAAACUUGUUGGAUGGAUUAAACGACCAACAGUUUACAAAAAGUCUUUAAGGGGGGAUGGUUGAACUUUAGUACCCACGGCUUUACAAAAAUGACCCACGGCUUAAUAUCUUGACACAAAAAGACCAAACAGCUUGACAAUAGUCUUAAGGCAAAGACUGUAAACUUGUUGGAUGGACUAAACGACCAACAGUUUACAAAAAGUCUUUAAGGGGGGGGAUGGUUGAACUUUAGUACCCACGGCUUUACAAAAAUGACCAACGGCUUAAUAUCUUGACACAAAAAGACCAAACAGCUUGACAAUAGUCUUAAGGCAAAGACUGUAAACUUGUUGGAUGGAUUAAACGACCAACGGUUUACAAUAAAGUCUUUAAGGGGGAAUGAUGGAACUUUAGUACCCACGGCUUUACAAAAAUGACCAAAGGCUUAAUAUCUUGACACAAAAAGACCAAACGGCUUGAUAAUAGUUUAAAGGCAAAGACUGUAAACGUUUUGGAUGGAUUAAACGACCAACCGUUUACAAUAAAGUCUUAAGUCUUUAAGCGGGGAUGAUGUAACUUUAGUACCCACGGUUAACAAAAAUGACCAAUGGCUUAAUAUCUUGACAAAAAAAAAGACCAAUGGCUUGAAAUAUAAUAGUCUUAAGGCAAAGACUUCAAACUUGUUGGAUGAAUUAAACGACCAACGGUUUAAUAAUCUUGAGGCAACGACGACUUAAACUUUUUGGAUGGAUUAAACGACCAACGGUUUACAAUAAGUCUUUAAGCGGGGAUGGUGGAACUUUAGUACCCACGGCUUUACAAAAAUGACCAAAGGCUUAAUAAUAGUCUCAAGGCAAAAACUGUAAAUUUGUUGGAUGGAUUAACGACCAACGGUUUACAGUAAAUUCUUUAAGAAAACACCAUGACUGUUGAAUGGAUAAAACGAUCAACAAUGAACAAAAUGUCUGUAGACAAAAGUCUAUGAGAUUGUUGGAAGGAAAAAGAGAUCAAGGUCUUAAAAAAGCGAUCAAUGAUUGUACCCACGGCUUAAAAAGUCAUAAGACAAUGACUGAAUUGAUUUUGAACCUGUUGGCUGGAAAUAAUGACUGCUAUCUUUGGAUAACAAUGGUACCCACGGCUUUAUGAAGGGUCUUUAGAAAGGCAAUUACCCACAGCUUCAUGAACAGUCUUUUGACAAAGAGUGUUAAUCUGAAAUGGUUCCAUUGUACCCACGGCUUAUAUCACUGGAUAACAUUGCCAACAAAGCUUAUGAAAAGUCUUUAGACAGAGACUGUACAGCUUAUGAAAAGUCUUUAGACAAAUUGUUACCCACGGCUUUAUGAAGAGUUUCAACACAAUAUUGGUACCUAUGGUUUGAGAAAUGUCUUUAGACAAAGACUCUGAAUCUAAACAGGAAUCAUUGCUUUACCAUGGCUCAAUGAAGCAAAUGAUUGUUUGGCGAGGAAUGACAUACUGUAGUACCCACGGCUUGCAUAAAUGACCAACAACUUAUAGUUUCAAACAAAGACAAUGAUUUGGACAAACGAAAGCUAUGAAUCUGUUGGAUUGAUAAUGGAUUCAUUACCUCACUACCCACGGCUUAGAACUUGGUGGAUGAAUAUAACGACCACAACUUGAAAAGUCUUGUUGAAAAGACUAUGAUCUUAAAAAGGCCCCUUGCUCUUUACUCUACUAAUUACCCACGGCUUUAAGAGUCUUAAGACAAUGACUGGAUCUGGACAAUACACCCAGUCACCCACGGUUAUUCAAACGAUGUUUGGUGACAGAAAGUAAGACAUACUUUAGUACCCACGGCUUCACAAAAAUGACCAACGGCUUACAAAAAAAUUGAUUUAAGACAAAUACUGAAUUUGUUGGAUGGAUAAAAACGACCAACAACUUGCAAAAGUCUUUAUACAAAGACAAAGAAUAAGGAUUUGUUGGAUAUAUAAAAAGACCAACGGCUUGCCAUAUGUUGGAUGGAUAAAACGGCCAACAUAUCAAAAAAUGUCUUUAGACAAAGACUAUGAUGAUCCUUAUAAUGAGAAAGCAGUGAAGCGCUUAGGGAAGAUUCACCGGAAAAUAUUGCCACCCCCGGCUUAUGAGAAGUCUUUAGACAAGUCUUUAACCAAGUCGACUUUAAGUUUGUUGGAUGGUUAAAACGACCAACAUCACCAAGUUCUCAAGAUAGACACUAUGAACCAAAGAUUGAGUAGGUGUUUGGUGUGUUGGAUGGUAAAAACGACCAACAGCACCAAGUUCUCAAGAUAGACACUAUGAACCAAAGAUUGAGUAGGUGUUUGGUGUGUUGGAUGGUAAAAACGACCAAUGGCAAACCAAAUCCUAAGAUAUAAACUACAAAUAAAAAUUGAGUCGGUACUUGACUUGUUGGAUGAUAAAAACGACCAACAAGUCUUAAGUUCAGAGACUAUGAACCGAAAGUUGAUUCCUCACUUCACUAUUUUACCACUUACAUCGUAAAAAUUCACAAGGUAAGUAUGAGUCAUUUUGCGUGAACUAAAGUCUAAUUAAUUGUGAUUUUCUCAGGUUUUAUGUGCUUCAUAAGGACUCGGAGAAGAUUUCAAGUGUAGCAGAUUCUUUGACAGGUAUGUGCUUCAUAAGAAAUUUCAGGUGAGAGACUUCUGCAGAUUGUGGUGUAUUUUGGAGUCUCUGGUAGACCAACGUAGGUGAGAGACUCUAGGAGCUUUUUUUUUUUAAACAGCUGGUUGAUAUUGAUAAACUUCAGAGAGUACUACAAAGGAAGCCAAGAUAUGACUACGAAAAAUAGAAAAAAACGAGAGGAAAACUCUGAAAAACCAGAAGGAAACAGAGAAAGACCGAGAGGAAAGAAGGAGAAGGUAUAUGAGGCCUUAUAGGUGUCCUAUAGCAUCAGCUCGCAAGACUGAAGAGAGCCAGGACGGACCAUGAUGGGUUACAGAGAGAGCAAUUGCAGAAGAAGCUCUGUUUUCUGUAGGGGAGACAAGACGUAAGCACCAGGAUUCAAUACACAUGAGCUUGUUCUGAAGAUCUGUGAAGAGGCUACCAUAUUGCGGAUAAGCUUCUGGAGAGGAUAGAGCGUCUCGCAGUGCUGGAGAGGAGAACUCAAUGGUAACUCGUGUCUUACGGAGACUCUAGGAGAUUGUUGUAGUAGUUUUUCUAAUCUUGAUGAAUUUUUCUGUUUUGUGUUAUCCUCUUAUAAUGUUUCUUAUAUUGUGAUGUGGAGUCUUUGGUAGAUCAACGUAGGUGAGAGACUCUACCAUGUUGUUCUAUUAGGCUUUCUGAUCUUGAUGAAUGUUUCUGUUUUUUUUUUAUGUUAUGCUCUUCGCCGUGUUAUUUGGUGCUUGUAUGUAUUAUAAGGUCUCUUAUUUUUUUGAAAUGAAUAUUUUUUAGUUUGUUGUUGAUC